CUGGAUUUUUGGCACCGAAAAUAGUCGGGUGGGAGCGCGGCGAAACCGCGAGGGCGGGCGCGGCGCAGUGCGUGUCGCUCCGCCGUGUGAACAGCCCGCUCGUGAGGCCGUAACUGGCGUAUUUUUUCGACCGGACCGUAAAGACACAAAGCCGCCACCAUGGACGCGAUCAAGAAGAAGAUGCAGGCGAUGAAGCUGGAGAAGGACAAUGCCAUGGACAAGGCUGACACCUGCGAACAGCAGGCCAGGGACGCCAACCUCCGCGCCGAGAAGGUCAACGAGGAAGUCCGUGAGCUCCAGAAGAAGCUUGCCCAGGUGGAGGAGGACCUGAUCCUCAACAAGAACAAGUUGGAACAGGCCAACAAGGACUUGGAAGAGAAGGAGAAGACCUUAACCGCCACUGAGGCUGAGGUCGCUGCCCUUAACAGGAAGGUGCAGCAGAUUGAGGAGGACCUCGAGAAGUCCGAGGAGAGGUCAGGCACCGCCCAGCAGAAGCUGCUCGAAGCCCAGCAGUCUGCUGACGAGAACAACCGUAUGUGCAAAGUGUUGGAGAACAGGGCACAGCAAGACGAGGAGCGCAUGGACCAGCUCACCAACCAGCUGAAGGAAGCCCGUCUGCUCGCUGAGGAUGCUGACGGCAAGUCCGACGAGGUAUCACGCAAGCUGGCCUUCGUUGAAGACGAGCUCGAAGUCGCUGAGGACCGUGUCAAGUCUGGAGACGCCAAGAUCUCAGAACUUGAGGAGGAAUUAAAGGUCGUAGGUAACUCCCUGAAAUCUCUGGAAGUAUCAGAAGAGAAGGCCAACCAGCGUGUCGAAGAGUUCAAGAAGCAGCUGAAGACCCUCACUAGCAAACUCAAGGAAGCCGAGGCCCGCGCCGAGUUCGCAGAGAAGACUGUCAAGAAACUGCAGAAGGAGGUUGACAGGCUCGAAGACGCAUUAUUCAACGAGAAGGAGAAAUACAAGGCGAUAUGCGAUGACUUGGACGGCACAUUCGCCGAGCUGACAGGAUACUAACCAGCCCUUACAGCACAUAGUUUAAGUCAAAACCGUCCGAAUCACAUCACCUUAAAGUCCAUUUUGAUACGCCACCUUGCAUUGUCUCGACCCUGUACAAGUUCAUUGUUUAGCCCGAUUGUAGAUCGCUGUCAGAACGAGUUCCAUACAUUUCAGAGUCUCUUAAACUGUUUCUUCUAACGCCUAACCUGCUCGCCGCCUGCAGGGUUGUCGACACAUAAUAUAUUAUUAUAGUGUAUGUCCACGACCCUGUAGGAGCGUCGUGUUAAGCCCUGCUUUGUCUGUUUGUGACUAACAUGUCUUUCGCUUUGCUGCUACCGUCGCGGACCAUUGCUUCCAAGAUGAGCUCGGAAUCAACAAGGACAGAUACAAGAGCUUGGCCGAC